rnacentral:rRNA from 1 species
AUUGAACGCUGGCGGCAUGCCUUACACAUGCAAGUCGAACGGCAGCACGGGUGCUUGCACCUGGUGGCGAGUGGCGAACGGGUGAGUAAUACAUCGGAACAUGUCCUGUAGUGGGGGAUAGCCCGGCGAAAGCCGGAUUAAUACCGCAUACGAUCUACGGAUGACAGCGGGGGACCUUCGGGCCUCGCGCUAUAGGGUUGGCCGAUGGCUGAUUGGCUAGUUGGUGGGGUAAAGGCCUACCAAGGCGACGAUCAGUAGCUGGUCUGAGAGGAGGACCAGCGACACUGGGACUGAGCCACGGCCCAGACUCCUGCGGGAGGCAGCAGUGGGGAAUUUUGGACAAUGGGCGAAAGCCUGAUCCAGCAAUGCCGCGUGUGUGAAGAAGGCCUUCGGGUUGUAAAGCACUUUUGUCCGGAAAGAAAUCCUUGGCCCUAAUACGGUCGGGGGAUGACGGUACCGGAAGAAUAAGCACCGGCUAACUACGUG